rnacentral:rRNA from 1 species
CGAAAGCCUGACGGAGCAAUGCCGCGUGCGGGAUGAAGCUUCUUCGAAGUGUAAACCGCUGUCAGGGUCUCGCACACUGAGCAGACCCAGAGGAAGGGCCGGCUAAUUCCGUGCCAGCAGCCGCGGUAAUACGGAAGGCCCGAGCGUUAAUCGGAAUCACUGGGCUUAAAGCGUGCGCAGGCGGACCGGCAGGCAUCUCGUGAAAUCCCACGGCUCAACCGUGGAACUGCGGGGUGAACCGCCGGUCUUGAGGCAAGUAGGGGCCGACGGAACCAUGGGUGGAGCGGUGAAAUGCGUUGAUAUCCAUGGGAACGCCGAUGGCGAAGGCAGUCGGCUGGGCUUGUCCUGACGCUCAGGUACGAAAGCGUGGGUAGCG